rnacentral:lncRNA from 1 species
UGAACUUAAAAAUAACUAGUUGAUUUGAGACGGGUCUCUAUGCUGCUCUGGCUGAUGUAAAAUUCAUAAGCUCAAGUGACCUUUCUAAAGUCCUGCCUCCUAAGUAUCUGGGACCGCAAGGUGUGCCACCUUGUAAGUAUCUGGGACCGCAAGGCUGUGUGCCACCUUGUAAGUAUCUGGGACCACAGGCUGUGUGCCACCUUGUAAGUAUCUGGGACCGCAAGGCUGUGUGCCACCUUGUAAGUAUCUGGGACCACAGGCUGUGUGCCACCUUGUAAGUAUCUGGGACCACAGGCUGUGUGCCACCUUGUAAGUAUCUGGGACCACAGGCUGUGUGCCACCUUGUAAGUAUCUGGGACCACAGGCUGUGUGCCACCUUGUAAGUAUCUGGGACCACAGGGUGUGCCACCUUAUAAGUAUCUGGGACCGCAGGGGUGUGCCACCUUGUAAGUAUCUGGGACCGCAAGGCUGUGUGCCACCUUGUAAGUAUCUGGGACCACAGGCUGUGUGCCACCUUGUAAGUAUCUGGGACCACAGGCUGUGUGCCACCUUGUAAGUAUCUGGGACCGCAAGAGGCUGUGUGCCACCUUGUAAGUAUCUGGGACCACAGGCUGUGUGCCACCUUGUAAGUAUCUGGGACCACAGGGUGUGCCACCUUGUAAGUAUCUGGGACCACAGGGUGUGUGCCACCUUGUAAGUAUCUGGGACCGCAAGGCUGUGUGCCACCUUGCUGACUUUCAGCUUUUCUUACUAUCUAUGGCUACAAAUUAGUUUUUAAGUCAAUUUUUCCCCUGUAUGACAACAAACAAC